AUGGAGAAGGUGGUAGUUGGAACUAGUCAUACAGAAGGUUCUAGCAGAAAGAAAAGGUCAGGGAGUAAGAGUAGAUGUUGAGAGGAUGAUUGAAGUGGUUUGACUGUCAAACCAGUCAAUGCAGGAUAAAGUAAGGAAGCCAGAGGAGAGCUGAUGGGCCAGGGCAAAUGAUAAAAAGAGGGGAAGAAAGGUGUUCACAACAUUAGCAAUUAUAAUUCACCUUCAAGCAUGGCCCGUGAGAACUCUGCUUAUCGGAAUAGAUUUUUGUCUAUUAUGCAAUAUCUAAAAAAGUAACUGAAGAGAGGUGACUUAAAAAUAUUUGCACAGUAGAGUCCUUAAAGCUCUUUAAGGGUCAAAGAAAAUGCAUGUUCAUGAGAGUUAGUCACUCUGCCUUGUAAAGCUUGUUUUGAUUUUUAUUUUUUCGGUUGGUUUACAGUCCUCAGUGGCUUUGAAUCUCAAUACGGCUGUUGUGGAGGUUUCCUUGGAUCGCCCCGGUGUCAGGUCGCCAAGCUUCAUGUUCAUGACCACAAAGAAAACCUAAAGGGCUUUGUGAAGACUUUUGUCAAGUUCCCACCUGCUGAUGGUAAUCACCGUGUGUUUGCAGUAAGUUGUGAGAUGUUAAUUCACACUUCAGUUGUGGACAUAUCGGUUAUGUUUCCUCAUCAGCUUGGCUUGCCUCCCAAAAGACCCCUUAGGAGUCUAAUGGCUGAUUGCCUGCAGAGAAUCGUUCAGGAUGAUGGUCACAAUGCUAGUGAAAAUGCAAAAGCCUGCAUGGAUCUGGUCAUUUGGAAGGUAAAAGAAGACGUGAAAGGAAAGAAGUAGUCACCUUGCCCAAGAACAUCUUUAAUUUCUGAAUUGCUGUUUCGGUGACUUCUCUGGCCCCUACUACUGGCAGUAGAGUUUGGUCGAUGAUGGUAUGGGGUUUCUGGACACUUUCAAAGAGAAGAAGAGGAAAAGCGCUGUUGAGGUUGAGUUACUACAUUUUUUUAUUACACUUUAAGUUUUAGGGUACAUGUGCACAACGUGCAGGUUAGUUACGUAUGUAUACAUGUGCCAUGUUGGUGUGGUGCACCCAUUAACUCGUCAUUUAACAUUAGAUAUAUCUCCUAAUGCUAUCCCUCCCCCUGCCCCCACCCCACAACAGGCCCCGGUGUGUGAUGUUCUCCUUCCUGUGUCCAUGUGUUCUCAUUGUUCAAUUCCCACCUAUGAGUGAGAACAGGCGGUGUUUGGUUUUUUGUCCUUGUUAUAGUUUGCUGAGAAUGAUGGUUUCCAGCUUCAUCCAUG
rnacentral:lncRNA from 10 species